rnacentral:tRNA from 1 species
GGGGAUGUUGCUCAGUGGUAGAGUGCUUGCCUGGCAUACAUGAGGCCCUGGGCUUAAUUCCCAGUAUUAUGA